rnacentral:rRNA from 1 species
UACGGAGGAGCUAGCGUUAUUCGGAAUUACUGGGCGUAAAGCGCACGUAGGCGGCUUUGUAAGUCAGAGGUGAAAGCCUGGAGCUCAACUCCAGAACUGCCUUUGAGACUGCAUCGCUCGAAUCCAGGAGAGGUGAGUGGAAUUCCGAGUGUAGAGGUGAAAUUCGAUAGAUAUUCGGAAGAAACACCAGUGGCGAAGGCGGCUCACUGGCCCCGAUACUGACGCUGAGGUGCGAAAAGCGUGGGGAGCAAACAGG